CAGAGAGUAGUUUAAUUAGAAUUGUGGCUUUGGGGGCCAAUGGUAGAAGUUUAAUAUCUUCUUUCUCUGA
rnacentral:tRNA from 1 species